CCCUUAGAUGUUCUGGGCUGCACGCGCGCUACACUGAUGCGAUCAACAAGUUUUUCCUAUGUCGAUAGACACGGGUAAUCUUUUGAACUCGCAUCGUGAUGGGGAUAGAUUAUUGUAAUUAUUAAUCUUCAACGAGGAAUUCCUAGUAGGUGCAAAUCAUCAGUUUGCAUCGAUUACGUCCCUGCCCUUUGUACACACCGCCCGUCGCUGCUACCGAUUGGUUGAUCUGGUGAAUUAUUCGGACUGCCGGCUGAAGGGGUUUCCUCAUCUGCCAGCGGAAAGUCUUGUUGACCCUAUCAACUAGAGGAAGCAGAAGUCGUAACA
rnacentral:rRNA from 1 species